CCUACGGGAGGCAGCAGUGAGGAAUAUUGGUCAAUGGCCGCAGGGCUGAGCCAGCCAAGUCGCGUGAGGGAUGACGGUCCUAUGGAUUGUAAACCUCUUUUGUCAGGGAGCAAAGGGCGCCACGUGUGGCGUUUUGCGAGUACCUGAAGAAAAAGCAUCGGCUAACUCCGUGCCAGCAGCCGCGGUAAUACGGAGGAUGCGAGCGUUAUCCGGAUUUAUUGGGUUUAAAGGGUGCGCAGGCGGAAUGUCAAGUCAGCGGUAAAAUCGCGGGGCUCAACCCCGCCCAGCCGUCGGAACUGCCGGGC
rnacentral:rRNA from 1 species